GGGGCCGUUCGGAUAUUGGGCGUAAGAGCUCGUAGGCGGUUUGUCGCGUCUGCCGUGAAAGUCCGGGGCUCAACUCCGGAUCUGCGGUGGGUACGGGCAGACUAGAGUGAUGUAGGGGAGACUGGAAUUCCUGGUGUAGCGGUGAAAUGCGCAGAUAUCAGGAGGAACACCGAUGGCGAAGGCAGGUCUCUGGGCAUUAACUGACGCUGAGGAGCGAAAGCAUGGGGAGCGAACAGGAUUAGAUACCCUGGUAGUCCAUGCCGUAAACGUUGGGCACUAGGUGUGGGGGACAUUCCACGUUCUCCGCGCCGUAGCUAACGCAUUAAGUGCCCCGCCUGGGGAGUACGGCCGCAAGGCUAAAACUCAAAGGAAUUGACGGGGGCCCGCACAAGCGGCGGAGCAUGCGGAUUAAUUCGAUGCAACGCGAAGAACCUUACCAAGGCUUGACAUGGGCCGGACCGGGCUGGAAACAGUCCUUCCCCUUUGGGGCCGGUUCACAGGUGGUGCAUGGUUGUCGUCAGCUCGUGUCGUGAGAUGUUGGGUUAAGUCCCGCAACGAGCGCAACCCUCGUUCCAUGUUGCCAGCGCGUAAUGGCGGGGACUCAUGGGAGACUGCCGGGGUCAACUCGGAGGAAGGUGGGGACGACGUCAAAUCAUCAUGCCCCUUAUGUCUUGGGCUUCACGCAUGCUACAAUGGCCGGUACAAAGGGUUGCGACACUGUGAGGUGGAGCUAAUCCCAAAAAGCCGGUCUCAGUUCGGAUUGGGGUCUGCAACUCGACCCCAUGAAGUCGGAGCCGCUAGUAAUCGCAGAUCAGCAACGCUGCGGUGAAUACGUUCCCGGGCCUUGUACACACCGCCCGUCAAGUCACGAAAGUUGGUAACACCCGAAGCCGGUGGCCUAACCCCUUGUGGGAGGGAGCUGUCGAAAGGUGGGACUGGCGAUUGGGACUAAGUCGUAACAAGGUAACC
rnacentral:rRNA from 1 species